rnacentral:rRNA from 1 species
UACGUAUGGUGCAAGCGUUAAUCGGAAUUACUGGGCGUAAAGCGUGCGCAGGCGGUUCGCUAAGACAGAUGUGAAAUCCCCGGGCUUAACCUGGGAACUGCAUUUGUGACUGGCGGGCUAGAGUAUGGCAGAGGGGGGUAGAAUUCCACGUGUAGCAGUGAAAUGCGUAGAGAUGUGGAGGAAUACCGAUGGCGAAGGCAGCCCCCUGGGCCAAUACUGACGCUCAUGCACGAAAGCGUGGGGAGCAAACAGG